UUCCCUUCCCAUUUGCUUUUAAAAGUUUGCAUUAAGUCUUUCUAUCCUUCUGCUGGUUGUUUUGCAAGACUAUGAUAAAGAUCUUGCAUUGAGUGAUGAUCGAUGAUUUAUUAUUAAAUCAAAUACUGCAUCUUCUAAGUCUCUCUGCUUGCCCCUGUCUUGCUUUCCUUAACUCUUGGAGGAACUAUAAAAAGAAGGUCAGACUUUGCUCGAAAAUUCUUACUUUGAUCACUCUAUUGGUCAGCCAACAUGCCCUUGGAGUCUUUUUCC
rnacentral:lncRNA from 1 species